rnacentral:rRNA from 1 species
GGCCUUCGGGAACUCUGACACAGGUGCUGCAUGGCUGUCGUCAGCUCGUGUCGUGAGAUGUUGGGUUAAGUCCGUAACGAGCGCAACCCUUGUCCUUAGUUACCAGCACGUUACGGUGGGCACUCUAAGGAGACUGCCGGUGACAAACCGGAGGAAGGUGGGGGAUGACGUCAAGUCAUCAUGGCCCUUACGGCCUGGGCUACACACGUGCUACAAUGGUCGGUACAAAGGGUUGCCAAGCCGCGAGGUGGAGCUAAUCCCAUAAAACCGAUCGUAGUCCGGAUCGCAGUCUGCAACUCGACUGCGUGAAGUCGGAAUCGCUAGUAAUCGUGAAUCAGAAUGUCACGGUGAAUACGUUCCCGGGCCUU